rnacentral:rRNA from 1 species
AUUGAACGCUGGCGGCAGGCCUAACACAUGCAAGUCGAACGAGUAGCGGACGGGUGAGUAAUGUCUGGGAAACUGCCUGAUGGAGGGGGAUAACUACUGGAAACGGUAGCUAAUACCGCAAACCAUCGGAUGUGCCCAGAUGGGAUUAGCUAGUGGGUGGGGUAACGGCUCACAAAGGCGACGAUCCCUAGCUGGUCUGAGAGGAUGACCAGCCACACUGGAACGUAGACACGGUCCAGACUCCUACGGGAGGCAGCAGGUGUGAAUAUUGCACAAUGGGCGCAAGCCUGAUGCAGCCAUGCCGCGUGUAUGAAGAAGGCCUUCGGGUUGUAAAGUACUUUCAGCGGGGAGGCGGUACCCGUCGAAGAAGCACCGGCUAACUCCGUGCCAGCAGCCGCGGUAAUAC